rnacentral:rRNA from 1 species
GACGAACGCUGGCGGCGUGCCUAAUACAUGCAAGUUGAGCGCUGAAGGUUGGUACUUGUACCAACUGGAUGAGCAGCGAACGGGUGAGUAACGCGUGGGGCAUCUGCCUUUGAGCGGGGGACAACAUUUGGAAACGAAUGCUAAUACCGCAUAAAAACUUUAAACACAAGUUUUAAGUUUGAAAGAUGCCAUUGCAUCACUCAAAGAUGAUCCCGCGUUGUAUUAGCUAGUUGGUGAGGUAAAGGCUCACCAAGGCGAUGAUACAUAGCCGACCUGAGAGGGUGAUCGGCCACAUUGGGACUGAGACACGGCCCAAACGCCUACGGGAGGCAGCAGUAGGGAAUCUUCGGCAAUGGACGAAAGUCUGACCGAGCAACGCCGCGUGAGUGAAGAAGGGUUUCGGAUCGUAAAACUCUGUUGGUAGAGAAGAACGUUGGUGAGAGUGGAAAGCUCAUCAAGUGACGGUAACUACCCAGAAAGGGACGGCUAACUACGUG